UGGCCGCGGUAUUUUGACCGUGCGAAGGUAGCAUAAUCAGUUGUCUUUUAAUUGAAGGCUGGAAUGAAAGGUUGCACGAGAAAAAAUCUGUAUUAAUUAUAAGUUUUGAAUUUUCUUUUAAGUGAAAAGGCUUAAAUAUUUUAAAGGGACGAUAAGACCCUAUAAAGCUUUACAAUUUAAUUUUAUUAAAUGAUUUUCAGUUUAAAGUAAAUUAAAAUAAUUUUGUUUGAUUGGGGUGAUUAUUAUAUAUCAAAUGUAAAUAACUGUAAAUUGAAUAAAUAGUGAUAAUUAGUCUAUUGAUCCUUUUUUAAAGAUUAAAAGAUAAAGUUACUUUAGGGAUAACAGCGUAAUUUUUUCAGAGAGUUCUUAUCGAAGAAAGUAGUUGCGACCUCGAUGUUGAAUUAAAAUUUCUAUUAAAUGUAGCAGUUUAAGUAGUUGGUCUGUUCGACCAUUAAAGUUUU
rnacentral:rRNA from 1 species